AACGAACGCUGGCGGCAUGCCUAACACAUGCAAGUCGAACGAGACCUUCGGGCCUAUUUGCGCACGGGGGCGUACCGCGUGGGAACCUGCACGUAGGUUCGGAAUCACUCCCCGUAGGGUAUGCUAAUACCGCUUAAUGUCUUACCACCUAAGAUCUAUCGCUGUUGGAUGGGGGCGCGUUGGAUUCGCCGGUUGGUAGGGUAAUAGCCUAUCAAGGCCACGAUGCUUAGCUGGUCUGAGAGGAUGACUCGCUACACUUGGGAUGAGACACGGCCCAGAAUGCUACGGGAGGGAGCAGUGGGGAAUAUUGGACAAUGGACGAAAGCCUGAUCCAGCAAUGCCGCGUGAGUGAUGAAGGCCUUAGGGUUGUAAAGCUCUUUUAGCCGGGAUGAUAAUGACAGUACCGGGAGAAUAAGCUCCGGCUAACUCCGUG
rnacentral:rRNA from 1 species